UGGGGAAUAUUGCACAAUGGGGGAAACCCUGAUGCAGCGACGCCGCGUGAACGAAGAAGGUAUUCGUAUCGUAAAGUUCUGUCCUAUGGGAAGAUAAUGACAGUACCAUAGAAGAAAGCUCCGGCUAAAUACGUGCCAGCAGCCGCGGUAAUACGUAUGGAGCGAGCGUUGUCCGGAAUUAUUGGGCGUAAAGGGUACGCAGGCGGUUUAAUAAGUCGAAUGUUAAAGAUCGGGGCUCAACCCCGCAAAGCAUUGGAAACUGAUAAACUUGAGUAGUGGAGAGGAAAGUGGAAUUCCUAGUGUAGGUGUGAAAUACGUAGAUAUUAGGAGGAAUACCAGUAGCGAAGGCGACUUUCUGGACACAAACUGACGCUGGGGUACGAAAGCGUGGGGAGCAAACAGG
rnacentral:rRNA from 1 species